GAUGAACGCUGGCGGCGUGCCUAAUACAUGCAAGUCGAGCGAAGCGGGGACGGGUGAGUAACACGUGGAUAACCUCCUAUAAGACUGGGAUAACUUCGGGAAACCGGAGCUAAACGGGAUACUUAUAGAUGGCUCCGCGCUGCAUUAGAUAGGUGGUAAGGUAACGGCUUACCAAGGCAACGAUGCAUAGCCGACCUGAGAGGGUGAUCGGCCACACGGCAACUGAGAAGCGGUCCAGGCGCCUACGGGAGGCGGCAGUAGGGAAGCGGCCGCUAUGGGCGAUGGCCAGACGGCGCGACGCCGCGUGAGGGUGGAAGGUCUUCGGUUCUUAAAACUCUGUUAUUUGGGAAGCGGUACCUUAUCAGACAGCCACUGCUAACGGCGUGCUAGCAGCCGCGGUAAUUC
rnacentral:rRNA from 1 species